rnacentral:rRNA from 1 species
UACGUAGGGUCCGAGCGUUGUCCGGAAUUAUUGGGCGUAAAGAGCUCGUAGGCGGUUUGUCGCGUCUGCUGUGAAAUCCCGAGGCUCAACCUCGGGUCUGCAGUGGGUACGGGCAGACUGGAGUGCGGUAGGGGAGAAUGGAAUUCCUGGUGUAGCGGUGGAAUGCGCAGAUAUCAGGAGGAACACCGAUGGCGAAGGCAGCUCGCUGGAACGGUACUGACGCUGAGGCGCGAAAGCGUGGGGAGCAAACAGG